GACGUAGGGUGCGAGCGUUGUCCGGAAUUAUUGGGCGUAAAGAGCUUGUAGGCGGUUUGUCGCGUCUGCCGUGAAAAUCCGGGGCUCAACCCCGGACUUGCGGUGGGUACGGGCAGACUAGAGUGUGGUAGGGGAGACUGGAAUUCCUGGUGUAGCGGUGAAAUGCGCAGAUAUCAGGAGGAACACCGAUGGCGAAGGCAGGUCUCUGGGCCACUACUGACGCUGAGACGCGAAAGCGUGGGGAGCAAACAGG
rnacentral:rRNA from 1 species